GAGGCUCUGUGCAUCAGGCUUGCAUCUGCCUGAAGGAUCCUUGCCUGCCAGGUGUUCAACAACCAAAGUUUAGAGACCAGAACUAAAAAGGUAUCUGGGCUAAGAUGACAGCCAGUAUUUUGGCCCUGGCCCUCCAAAGUCAACUACAACAACUACAACAAAAAGAUCCAGGACAUGAAGGAAGCUUCUCCAAGAUCCUACAUCUUUGGUGUCACCCAACCUCCUGAGCAGGGAGGUUGCUGAACACUAAAAUGGCAAGCUAUGGUAUUCUGAGACAUAAUUCCAUUUUGGCCUCCAGUCACAAUUGAGAUCUCAGUGAUCCCAUGAUGCUGUGAUGCUCCAGGGCAAGGCCACACCUGCAGGAGACACACUGGGAGGAACCAAAUCUUCAUCUGCAUAGUUCCUCAUUGUUCUUAGAUUUCCA
rnacentral:lncRNA from 1 species